rnacentral:rRNA from 1 species
UACGUAGGGAGCAAGCGUUGUCCGGAAUCAUUGGGCGUAAAGCGCGCGUAGGCGGCCCUGUAAGUCCGUUGUGAAAGUCAAAGGCUCAACCUUUGAAAGCCGAUGGAUACUGCAGGGCUAGAGUCCGGAAGAGGCGAGUGGAAUUCCUGGUGUAGCGGUGAAAUGCGCAGAUAUCAGGAGGAACACCAAUUGCGAAGGCAGCUCGCUGGGACGUCACUGACGCUGAGACGCGAAAGCGUGGGGAGCAAACAGG